rnacentral:rRNA from 1 species
UAGGGAAUCUUCGGCAAUGGACGAAAGUCUGACCGAGCAACGCCGCGUGAGUGAAGAAGGUUUUCGGAUCGUAAAACUCUGUUGUUAGAGAAGAACAAGGACGUUAGUAACUGAACGUCCCCUGACGGUAUCUAACCAGAAAGCCACGGCUAACUACGUGCCAGCAGCCGCGGUAAUACGUAGGUGGCAAGCGUUGUCCGGAUUUAUUGGGCGUAAAGCGAGCGCAGGCGGUUUCUUAAGUCUGAUGUGAAAGCCCCCGGCUCAACCGGGGAGGGUCAUUGGAAACUGGGGGACUUGAGUGCAGAAGAGGAGAGUGGAAUUCCAUGGGUAGCGGUGAAAUGCGUGGAUAUAUGGAGGAACACCAGUGGCGAAGGCGGCUCUCUGGUCUGUAACUGACGCUGAGGCUCGAAAGCGUGGGGAGCAAACAGG